rnacentral:lncRNA from 1 species
AGUUGACUAUUAAUUUAAAGUUUAAAUAACUUUUUGAUCCUAGCUAAUAUAAAAGUUUUCAAUUUUAAUUUUUGUAAAUUUUUUUAUUAUUCAUCACCAUCAAUCACAAACUUGAGUUUCAUCAUCAUCUUUAUCAACCCAACAAUCCAUAUUUUCCAUCACCUAACUCAACCUUUUUCCUUUUAUCAUUCAUACUUCACCUAACCCAAUUUUUCUAUCAAUAACUCUACCUCAAAUCUCAUUUUUUUGCCUCUAUUAUCUCAAAAAAACAUCAAUCUCAUCUUUGAAAAUUAACAAUUUAAAUACCCAUAAACUGUUCGACAAAAUUCUCAAACAGCUUUUCCAUUAAACCACUCUUAUAAUUCUCAACAAUCGCCUUUGAAAAUUAACAAGGCUUUAGAUAAAAAAAUAUAAUUUUUAUUAAACAAAUGACCAGCUGCAUCACUUACCUAAAUAACAACUAUUAAUGGUUACAAUCACUCAACUACUAAAAAAGAAAGACAAUAAAAUCAACUACUGACGGAGUAGACGGAGUGGAAUGAUAUACAAGGCAAAGAAUGAAUGGUAUUCUUAACCACAUCCAUAAUUUAUAUCAGGUAUUGCAGCAACAGCUGAAAAUGGAAUUUCAAUUCUCUCUUUCACAAGACACCGAGCCUUAUUAAUUUUUAAAGGUGAUUGUUGAGAAUUAUAAGAGUGGUUUAAUGGCAAAGCUGUUUGAGAAUUUCGUCAAACAGUUGACGGACAUUUAAAUUGUUAAUUUUCAAAGAAGAGUUUGAUGUUUUUUGAGAUAAUAGAGGGAAAAGAUGAGGUUCGAGGUAUAGUUAUUGAUAGAAAAAAUUGAGUUAAGUGAGGUAUGAAUAAUGAAGGGAAAAAGAUUGAGUUGGGUAAUAAAAAAUAUGGAUUGUUGGGUUGAUGAAGAUGAUGAUGAAACUCAAGUCUGUGAUUCAUGGUGAUGAAUAAUUAAAAAAUUUACAUGGACCAAAAUUGAAAAUUGUUAUAUUUGUAGCGAUCAAAAACAUAUUUAAACUUAAAAUUAACAGUCAAUUCACGUUUUUUGUAACGUUUACUUGACGUUAAUGGCCAAAAAUAAAGCUUUAUGAUAUUACAGAAAUAAAAUAAAAAAUUUGUAGAACUAAAACUAAAAACUAUUGUACUUCCAAGGAGUAAAAACAUAUUUAAACCUUGUAUGUUGUUAUUAUUGUAGUUGAGUUGAAUCAAUAAAGUGGUAAUUCAAACAAUAAAGUAUUUCUUUUCAAG